UGGGGAAUUUUGGACAAUGGGGGCAACCCUGAUCCAGCAAUGCCGCGUGUGUGAAGAAGGCCUUCGGGUUGUAAAGCACUUUUUGUCCGGAAAGAAAUCGCCCUGGCUAAUAUCCGGGGGUGGAUGCGGUACUGGAAGAAUAAGCACCGGCUAACUACGUGCCACAGCCGCGGUAAUACGUAGGGUGCGAGCGUUAAUCGGAAUUACUGGGCGUAAAGCGUGCGCAGGCGGUUGUGCAAGACAGAUGUGAAAUCCCCCGGGGCUUAAACCUGGGGAAUGGCAUUUUGUGACUGCACGGCUAGAGUGUGUCAGAGGGGGGUAGAAUUCCACGUGUAGCAGUGAAAUGCGUAGAUAUGUGGAGGAACACCGAUGGCGAAGGCAGCCCCC
rnacentral:rRNA from 1 species